AUGGGGAAGAAAGGUAUAGUUGUGGCGACCACCAUCGUCGCCGUGAUGACUGUCAUCUUUGGAGUCAUCGGCGCGGUUUUCUUGGGACUGAGACGCUAUGAGGAUGACCGCGAUGACCGCAGCGUGUGUAAGUACGCGCGAUCGCCGGCGACGGCUUGCGGCGUCGUGGCGGCCGUGCUGGCGCUAACGACACAGAUUCUCGCCAGCGUGGCCAUCGGCUGCUGUGGGGCAUGGCAGAAUCCCAAGAGGGCCAAUCGCAUCGCCGCCGUCGUUUUCUACGUCAUCUCAUGGAUCCUAGUGAUCAUAGCGGUGCUGGUGUUUCUGGGAGGCGCCCUAUUAGGGAUUGAAGGAUAUACAGAGAAAGUUAUUGGGAAAACUAUUGAGAACGGUAGCUGUGUUGGAGGUGUCGGAGGUGAAGGAGUUUUCGUGGACGCGACAUUCCUGUUUCUUGUAGUUGUCGCCCUUGAGGUCUCCUCGUAUCUUCUUAUUCAGAAAGAUGAGCACCACCAAGCAGCCGCAAGCGAUAAUCCUCCUUCGAUACCAACCGCUACAUCUCCUUUGGCAACAACAGCUUCUUCUAAAGAUGAUGCCCACGCCUCCGCUCCCGCACCAGCAAAUCAAGUCUGA
rnacentral:rRNA from 1 species